rnacentral:rRNA from 1 species
GGAAUAUUGGACAAUGGGCGAAAGCCUGAUCCAGCAAUACCGCGUGUGUGAAGAAGGCCUUCGGGUUGUAAAGCACUUUAAGUUGGGAAGAAAAAACUUCAAUUAAUACUUGAAGUCUUGACGGUACCGACAGAAUAAGCACCGGCUAACUCUGUGCCAGCAGCCGCGGUAAUACAGAGGGUGCUAGCGUUAAUCGGAUUUACUGGGCGUAAAGCGUGCGUAGGCGGUUUGAUAAGUCGGUUGUGAAAGCCCCGGGCUCAACCUGGGAAUUGCGGCCGAUACUGUCAGACUAGAAAACGGUAGAGGGAGGCGGAACUCCAGGUGUAGCGGUGAAAUGCGUAGAUAUCUGGAAGAACACCGAUGGCGAAG